rnacentral:rRNA from 1 species
GGGGAAUAUUGGACAAUGGGCGCAAGCCUGAUCCAGCCAUGCCGCGUGGGUGAAGAAGGCCUUCGGGUUGUAAAGCCCUUUUGUUGGGAAAGAAACAGCACAGGUUAAUACCUUGUGCGAAUGACGGUACCUGAAGAAUAAGCACCGGCUAACUACGUGCCAGCAGCCGCGGUAAUACGUAGGGUGCAAGCGUUAAUCGGAAUUACUGGGCGUAAAGGGUGCGCAGGCGGUUUAUCAAGAAAGGUGUGAAAUCCCCGGGCUCAACCUGGGAAUGGCACUUUUAACUGAUAGGCUAGAGUAUGUCAGAGGGGGGUAGAAUUCCACGUGUAGCAGUGAAAUGCGUAGAGAUGUGGAGGAAUACCGAUGGCGAAGGCAGCCCCCUGGGAUAAUACUGACGCUCAUGCACGAAAGCGUGGGGAGCAAACA